rnacentral:rRNA from 1 species
AACGUAGGGUGCAAGCGUUGUCCGGAAUUACUGGGUGUAAAGGGAGCGCAGGCGGAUUGGCAAGUUGGGAGUGAAAUCUAUGGGCUCAACCCAUAAAUUGCUUUCAAAACUGUCAGUCUUGAGUGGUGUAGAGGUAGGCGGAAUUCCCGGUGUAGCGGUGGAAUGCGUAGAUAUCGGGAGGAACACCAGUGGCGAAGGCGGCCUACUGGGCACCAACUGACGCUGAGGCUCGAAAGUGUGGGUAGCAAACAGG